rnacentral:lncRNA from 1 species
CUCUUAUACUUUUAUUAGUAUAAAUUUUGAAUCCGACUACUAUGCUAUUAAUAGCACGAAACACUUGGUACUAUCAAAUUUUUCGCCGUUAGAUCUACCCUUUUGAUCAUUUUCACCCGUUAGAUCAUACUAUUUAACCAACCACCCACUCGAUUCUAGGGGACCCACAUCAUCCUAACCGCACAUCUCUUAAUCCAAUGGCUAAAAACUUAGUAGCACCAAUGACUUGGUGCUAUUAAUAGCAUAGUAGCCUAGUUCAUAAAUUUUUUAUACUUAUGAAUUUUUAGCCGUUAGAAACAAAAAUUAAUGUGUAGUUAGGAUAACAGUGAUCCGCUAAGAUUGAAUGAAUUGUUGGUUAAAUAGUAUGAUCUAAUAAAUGAAAAUAAUCAAAAGAAUAUAUUUAACGGUCGAAAUUUUAUGAGUACAAAAGGGUUUAUAUUUAUAACAGUAUGGUACGUAGCCGG